AAUGAGAAGAGACACAUUCUGAUACGCUACUUCGGAGUUUAUACAGGUGAGAAGUCGAAGAAGGUACCAGCGAAGGUCAAGGGGAAAGCUGGCCGCGAAAACUUGGUUUCUGCGCAGCCGCGGUACGUCGUGGAGCAGAGCCCCCUACAUCACUCAGGACGUGUUUUCCAGGCAGCGCAUUUUCUCCUCGUGGCAAAACCCCUUGAACUGUUGCACACUUUGCGAGGUGCCUGGCUCGUGCUGACAAGGAUGGAGAGGCAACCAGUGCUGAACCACAUCAUUUUCCGCGGGUCAAGGUGAAUGCUGACUACUGACGAUCACAUCAAAUAAAGGAUUUUUGGCAUAAAAUUGAUAGUACA
rnacentral:lncRNA from 1 species